rnacentral:lncRNA from 1 species
ACUUCAGGGCUCUGGGAAGACUUCUGAAGGGAUCGGGAGCACAAGUUGUGUUUUCCUCUGUCCUCUCAGUUGGUGACUGGGACCCACGCAAAAGGAAGAGGGUGGACACACUGAAUGAUCGGCUUAGCGAAUGGUGUCGUGCUCAGGGCUGUGGGUACUAUGGCUUGGGACACAGUCUUGAGAAAGGAGGAAUGCUGACGGUGGAUGGGAGCCGACUGACUAGAAGGGCCACAAAUAUUCUUGGGAACAAGUUGGCUGGGCUGGUUAGCAGGGCUUUACGAUAGAUAUGAUGGGGGAAGGGGUGUACUGGAUGACAGAGAAGCGCAUGGGAACGCUGUCACCCUGGGAGGUGGUAAGGGAAAACCCCAGACUUGUCCUGCAGGUAUUAGGGAGGUCUCGUCUGAUAAGGCAACGAGGCCAAUAGCCAAGCUGAACUGCCUCUAUACCAAUGCGCGCAGCAUGGGAAAUAAAUGGGAGGAGCUAGAAACCGUGGCGCAAUUUGGCAAGUGUGACCUAAUUGCUAUCACAGAAACAUGGUGGGAUGAAUCCCACAAUUGGAAUACCCUGAUUGAGGACUACAGGCUUUUCAGAAGGGAUAGACAGGCUAGGAGGGGUGGGGGAGUUGCCCUCUAUGUUAGGAAGUGGAUAAAUUGUGAAGAGCUGUGUCUGAGGAACAGCCACGAUCAAGUGGAGAGUUUGUGGGUAAAAAUCAAGGAUCGGUCCAGCAAAGGGCACCUAGUGGCUGGGGUCUGCUGCAGGCCACCUGAUCAGGAGGAGGCUGUGGAUGAGGCCUUCUUGCUUCAGCUGCAGGAGGUGUCGAGCUUGCAGGCUCUUGUCCUGAUGGGGGAUUUCAAGCACCUGGAUAUCUGCUGGGAUAGUGGCGUGGUGGGUGGCAGACAAUCCAGGAGAUUCCUGGAAUCUGUCGAGGACAACUUCCUGGUCCAGGUAAUAGAUGGACCCAUCUGAGGUGAAGCCUUACUGGACCUGGUUCUCACUAAUGAAGAGAAAAGCAUUAGAGACGUUAAGAUUGGAGGCAGCCUGGGCUGCAGUGACCAUGCCUUGGUGGAGUUUGUGAUCUUGAAGAAUGCGGGCCUGGCAAAAAACAGAGCUAGGACCAUGUGCUUUAGGAGAGCAAACUUCCUGCUGCUCAAGGAACUGCUGAGUGAGAUCCCCGAGGAAGCUGUCCUUAUGGGCAUGGGUGCAGAACAGAGCUGGCAGCUCUGGAAGGACACCUUUCUGAGAGCACAACUGCUCUCCCUCCUCCAAAAGAAGAAGUCGAGCAGGGGAGGCAGGCGACUGUUGUGGCUGUGCAAGGACCUGCAGCUAAAACUGAGAGAAAAGGGGGAAUUGUGUAGCAGGUGGAAGCAGGGUAGUGUGUCCUGGGAGGAAUAGAGGGCUAUUGUCCGUGUGUGUAGAGAUAGGAUUAGGAAAGCCAAGGCGCUGGUGGAGCUGAACUUGGCAAGGGAUGUGGAAGAUAACAAGAAGGGGUUCUACAGGUACAUAGGCAGGAGGAGACAUUCCAAGGAGAGUGUUCCCCCUCUGACGAGAGGCAAUGGGGAGCUGGCUUCUUCAGACACAGAAAAAGCUGAGGUACUCAAUGAGUGCUUUGCCUCAGUCUUCACGGGUGGUCAGGCUUCCCGUGUCUGCCAGGACCACGAGCCUCUAGGUUAGGGUGUGGGAGUGGUUUCUGUCCCACUGUAACGGUAAAACAAGUCCGAGUCCUCCUCAUGAAAUUGAACGUGUGUAAGUCCAUGGGGCCAGAUGAUAUCCAUCCUAGGUAAAGGGCAAAAUCGGGUCCCCGCAGUAUAGAAAGAAGGGCUUCAUAGCAAGAAAAGAGAAAGCAGCUUCACAAGGUAGACAUAAGGGGCACAUAGAGAUAGUUUAUGUAGAGAGUAUUAGAAAACAAGGGAUUCCAAGCACUUUCACAGGCGCUAGGUGCGGAAUAAUAAGGAGAAUGAAGGCCAUAAAGAUAAGGACUGGAGAACAGCUCGAACACAAUUGGCAGGCAUGUGACUAGAUGUCUGAAGUUCGGGGGAUGCCCCCCCUUUUGGGGUCAAAAGUUUGCAGCAAGGAAGACUAUGAGCCUUUGCGAGGAAGACUGCAAGCCUUCAUCAUCACGACCUACUACGCACGCGAAAGGGGGGGAGGGACUGUAUGCUAAUGGGCUCUCCGGAACGUAGGGAAUAUGUAUCCGAAUUCCUGUCAACUACUGAUUAUGUAUUAGUUCAACCUAUAUCUAUAGCACGAUUUCUCCUGAUGGUGUGCAAGUUAGCUGGGACGAUCCCCCUUGCACCAGGGUGUACGCGCGUCACCAAU